CUUGUAAAUGCAUGCAUUCAUUUUUGCUUCCAGCUCUUUGUGAAACUAACCAUUCUAAGCAUUUUAUGUUGGGAAAUCUAUGUUGACAACUUUAUUCUUUAGUUCUUGCUAUUUGGAAAACUAAUCACAUUUAAAAAUGUUUUUUUCACUGUUCGAUUUUAUUCCCAGUGAUGUGGUUGCCAACUUGUUACAUAUUUUGUGAAUUUAUGCUUGUUAAUUAAUUAGAAAAUAAUUUUUUAAGGUUUAUCUAAAUUAGCGUGCUGUGAUACCUACUAUGGUGUGUGGGGUGGGCCACGAGAUCCUCAAUUGCAAUGCAAACUGUAUCUUAUUAUUAAUGAAUGGAAACCAUAAAGGGUGAGAGUAUCUUGUGCGCUGAGGAUUCUGUACAGCUGUUUUUAGGGGUUUUGAAAUGGGAUUCUGUCUUUCUUGAGUUGAUUUGAAUUUGAGUCUUGUCUCUUGACACAUUUGGUUGCAAUACCAACUCAUACGUCCAUGUAAUUUAGUGUAACAAGGUGAAGUUGUCUCAUGCCUUGUGCAAUGCAGUUGAAAUCCCACUUGAAGAUGAAUGGUGCCUAUGGCCUUAGUUUGAGCCCUUGACUGUAAUAUGAAAUGUUCUUUUCAUUCUAAUGAUGAAAUUUCAGCAUGCAUUUUGCCAAAGGUUUCUGAGUUCUGUGCAACAUGCUUAGCUUCCUUAUUGGAAUAGAAUCACUUUGUUAGUUAUUUGAGAGCCAAGACAAUCAUAUUGAGUGAAGUUUGUGUAGAUAGCUGUGUAGAUGAAAGAAGAAGGGAUUUCUUGAGGUAGACAAUUGGACUUGCUCUCCAGUUGCUGCCUUUGAAAUUGCGCUUUUAUUUGAGAAUCUGGAAAAAAA